rnacentral:rRNA from 1 species
UGGGGGAUAUUGCACAAUGGGCGAAAGCCUGAUGCAGCGACGCCGCGUGGGGGAUGAAGGCUUUCGGGUUGUAAACCUCUUUCGCUAUCGAACAAGGCCCGCUUAGGGUGGGUUGAGGGUAGGUGGAGAAGAAGCGCCGGCUAACUACGUGCCAGCAGCCGCGGUAAUACGUAGGGCGCGAGCGUUGUCCGGAAUUAUUGGGCGUAAAGGGCUUGUAGGCGGCUUGUUGCGCCUGCUGUGAAAACGCGGGGCUUAACUUCGCGCGUGCAGUGGGUACGGGCAGGCUUGAGUGUGGUAGGGAUGACUGGAAUUCCAGGGGUAGCGGUGGAAUGCGCAGAUAUCUGGAGGAACACCGAUGGCGAAGGCAGGUCACUGGGCCAUUACUGACGCUGAGGAGCGAAAGCAUGGGUAGCGAACAGG